rnacentral:misc_RNA from 1 species
AUUGUAUUUAAAAUCAAUAUCUUAUUAUAUGAGUUGAACGCUUACUCCUGUUCAUCUAUUUUUCCCUAGGUGACAGAAGGGCUCUUUGAAAUUAAUCUGCUUUAUUUUUCGCAGGUUUACCAGAAGUAGUUUCAUUGCGUUUUAUUUCCUUAUUUUAUAUUCUAGAACUCCGUAUGUACCAGUAGUGUAUUAGACUUUUAUAAAAUUAUAAUAACUUAUUCAGCUGGA